UGUUUCAGGGCGAGGUGCAAUUCCUCACCGGUGGUAAAGUCCACGAGCCUGCUGGUUUCAGCGGCAUGAUUCGGUGAAAUUCCGAAACCGACGGUAUAGUCCGGAUGAAAGAAA
rnacentral:ncRNA from 1 species